CGCGUCCCUUGUUUCACUCAUUUCUCCAAAAUUUAACCCUAAACUUUCAUAGAAUCAGAGUUUAGACUUCAGAGUGAGGCUUCUUCUUCUCCUCCAAGGUCUGAGAAUAGAAACCAGAGACGGAAUCACAGUCACGUAGAGAGGCAGAGUGAGACUUCUUCUUCUCCUCGUUUGCUCGGUGUUGAAUACUGAGACUAAUGAGCUGGUUGCUGUUAAGAAGAUAGCGAACGCGUUCGAUAAUCACAUGGAUGCAAAGCGCACACUCCGUGAGAUUAAACUCCUGAGGCAUCUGGAUCAUGAAAACGUGUGAGGAUUAUGCAAUUUGCUUUUUGCUUUCAACCAGAAUGGCAUCACACAAUUACAUGGCAAGUGCCAAAUCUGUAUCUCUUUAUUGUAUAAGUUCAGGAGUUUCUCAAUCUGCCAUUGCUGCACUCUUUUGCAAAUUCAAUUUCGGCCAGAAGCAAUUCUCUACUUGCUGUUUCGGUUUCACUCAACCUUGUUUGAUUGACAAGUUCAGGAAAAAGGUGCAAUUCUUUUGGAGAAUUCCGGUAGUUUGUACAAGGUGAAAUCCGAGAUGAAGUAUGCCAUGAAAAGUUACUACAUGGAAUACUAUUUUGAGACCAACCCUGAUGGUAUUUGACAUUUUCCCAUUUCUUUUGGCUGUGAGUGGUUGGUAAAUUUAGGUUGCGGCUCAGGAGAUAGUUGUUGUUUAAUGUAUUUUGGUUUCUUGUUGUUACAGUAAAAGAUGGGGACUGGAAUUUUGAUUUGCAUGAUCUACAAUUAUGUUUCGGUGUAAAAGAAUUCUUGGUAUGGUUUAAUCCUUAUGUUUUAUUUUUCCCCCAAAGGAUAAGGAAUCACCUAUUUCUAGGUUAUCACUAGGUUAUUGCUCCUCAAAGUGCAAGUGGUGUGCUUCUUGAUGCACCUGAAGCUAGCAAGCUCUUGAGUGCUGUUGCAAUUGCUUUGUCAAAUUGUUCAAGGUAACUCUUCUUACUUGUUGUGUAGUGUUUAGUAAGCAAUGAAAAUCACAAUAACUUAUGUUCAUUGGCAUUUUAUCUUGGUCUAAUUGUAAAUGAUAACUAGUAACUGCUUGUUCACUGUGAUAUUUGUUUUUAUGGCCUGCUUGUUAUUUUCACUGGAGAAAUUUUAAAAAGGGAGCAUUUGUUUAAAAAAAAUGCUUUUAGUGAGGGACUUUUUCAGCUUUUUUUUUUUCCCUUCAGAAGUUACUCUUUCUAGCUUAUAGGAAAGCACUAAUUGCCUCUUUCUUUUCAUUUUGGAAAGCACUAAUAGAUUCGGAUGUAUGCUUUAAUUUGUUUAAUCUAUGGAUAUAUCUGUACAAAACGCUGCCAAACAUGCAGAUGGUGGCUGAGUCUAUAAUCCUAUUCUACCCAAGCCUGCCUGCAAAAGGGGUUUUAACAAAUUAAAAGUACCGGUAGUGCUGCUGUUUAAUUUUCACUAUUGCAGGUUUUGAUUUGCGUCUGCUUUUCUCUUGUGUCAUACACUUUGGCAUAUUGAAAAAGAAACACAAAAGCAUAAAGCAAAACGAAAAUCAGGUU